rnacentral:rRNA from 1 species
GAUGAACGCUGGCGGCGUGCCUAAUACAUGCAAGUCGAGCGAACAGACGAGGAGCUUGCUCCUCUGACGUUAGCGGCGGACGGGUGAGUAACACGUGGAUAACCUACCUAUAAGACUGGGAUAACUUCGGGAAACCGGAGCUAAUACCGGAUAAUAUAUUGAACCGCAUGGUUCAAUAGUGAAAGACGGUUUUGCUGUCACUUAUAGAUGGAUCCGCGCCGCAUUAGCUAGUUGGUAAGGUAACGGCUUACCAAGGCAACGAUGCGUAGACGACCUGAGAGGGUGAUCGGCCACACUGGAACUGAGACACGGUCCAGACUCCUACGGGAGGCAGCAGUAGGGAAUCUUCCGCAAUGGGCGAAAGCCUGACGGAGCAACGCCGCGUGAGUGAUGAAGGUCUUCGGAUCGUAAAGCUCUGUUAUUAGGGAAGAACAAAUGUGUAAGUAACUAUGCACGUCUUGACGGUACCUAAUCAGAAAGCCACGGCUAACUACGUG